UCUAUGCCACCAGCUCCAGGCAGUAACUAAGAUACCUUUGCAGAAUCAAGUGUUUCUAAAGGUUGAUAAGAGUAUUACAAAGACAAGAUGCAUAAUGGCUAUUUUGGUCCAACUUCUCUCAUUUUGCUAUAAACUGCUGAAGAAGAUUCAAAUGGAAAACAACAGACGGGUCUCAGUUACAAAUAAAGAUUCUGUGG